rnacentral:lncRNA from 1 species
UGAUCUUUUCCUUUUGACUUUUCAGUAGUUUCACCUCUGAAUUUUUUCAUGGUUUGUUGAUCCUCUCUCUUGAUUCUGCAUUUGUUUCACCUCUGAGGUACUGAAUGGUCUUGUUAGAUGCUUAUAUUUGUGGAUCCUACCUGUGUUAUAUCAUGAUUCUGAGUAGGUGUUUGUUUUAAGAGUUUCAUACCAGUCAUAUUUCUUUCCUAGUGAUGGUGAUCUUCAGUAUUUGCACGUGUUAGGAUAAAUUGCUUUCCUGAAUAUUGUAACUACUUAUAUUAGCUUUGUUUAAAUUUCCUGGUUUUUACUUCUAAGUUUUUUACUAAGUGUUAUAGUUUGGCCAUUGUUCCUGCAUAGUCAAU